GUAUACUCGUUUAUGUAGAAUGUUUUAAUGGAAUUUUAUGAAUUUAAUCACUUUCAAGAUUGCUUGACCGAAAUUCGAGAGUUUUUUUUGCAUAUGAAUGAGUCAGAGGGGAAACGUUGGCUACGGGUGAACGAACACCAAGGGAGUACACCGGUGUAUCGAAGUGAGCAACAGGUGUGACUCGUGUAUCUCUGCUGGAUACUUAUGUGAAUAAUCCGGCUGGUCGAUUCGUUGGCAGGUGUACAUAACCGCGUUCUGUCUAGAGUUGUCUCCACGGGAAAUGACGUGAAUGAUUGCUUUCUACGAUAUUAUUUCGUUACACGAAUCGCGUCUGAUCACUAUGCACGAAAUGCAUCAAAAUUUUUAUAGAUUCCACCGCUAGAUAUCGUAUCGUUCGCGGACGAAAGUUUCGAUUACGUCAACUCGCAAGUUAUCGACCUCUCGGCUAAUUCCAGCCUAUGACAACUUCAGAUGGAUUCAAUUAAUCUUCGAUAUUUAACGCUGACAGCAAGACAUGGAAACUAAUUAAAAUUCCAAACAAUAAGUAAGGAUCGCUGUUGAUUCGUGGUAUGCACCUGUGGAGCGAGGCGAAAUGCGCAGCAAGAAGAGGAACAAAAAGACAGGGUGAUGUUCGACCGAACGAUUUUCUCUGGUCCUUUAAUCAAGAAGGAGGAACCCGUAACGACGUAGCGCGUAAUGAGUAAUGACAUCUGGUCUGUAUAGGGCGGGGCUAACAGGUCCCACGCGGUCUCCUGGUUAUACAUAUAUAUUCUACGUACACUAACACUAUCGUCCGGUUUCUGCUCAUUUAAACACUUACGAACUCGAUUUAAACGACCUCCAUCCGUGCGAUUGCCUCUCGUCCGCGCUGUUCGUAUCGUUCGUGUAAAACUUCGUGCAGAUUUAUGAGAUUAUUUAUGUGUCUAAAUAUGAAAUAGAUCUUAUUUUGUUAGAAAAAGUUAAUUAAUUUUAAUAUUUAAUCGAGAUAACGACUUAAUAUUUCGAAUGCAAACGUGUUUAAAAUUUUUGUAGUUAAAAAGUAAUUUUCUUUCUCUAUUGAUUGAAAAUUUAUUGAUUUCUGUGAUUAUGACAAACUAAAUCUUAUUUCAAAAAAUAUAUUUUUAUUCCAUGAAUCAUUUUAUUCUAACUUACAAGAAGGUAAAAUUAUUUUAUUAAUAAAUAACCUCAAAAGAUCGAAACAUACUUCGAUUUUCAUAGAAUUUAUUAGCUAACAUAGCUCGGUUGCGUAAUAGUUAGAAAUGCAUAAAACGCAAUUAUAAAUCCAUUUCAUAACGCGAACUGUUAGUGCCAGAUACAGACGUAUACGCGUGUAUAUUGAAAGUGCAAUAUGUUCGCGUUAAAACAUCCGCCUGCUAAAUACGGUAUAAGCGUAUCUUAGAAUCAUACCGGGUGAUACUGUUGCAGCAUUUUAGCUUUGUCGCUGACAUCUGAAUCGUAAUUGCAUACGAAAUAUUAUAGUAUACGGAUAAGGAUUUCCUAAUAUAGACUAAGCUUAUAUGGAAAGAUAAACUAUCCUACAUUAGGAUGUCUAACGUCCUCUCUAACAUCUUGUAUACAAGAACAAGUCCGGUUGUGUAACGGUUUAAUAGCAAAAACUAUAUUACCGGCAUAAAAGAGCAAGAAUAUAAUUUCUCUGCACGAUUUUUCAUUUGUGUUUCACGAAAAUACAACUGUUGUAAUAUCUCUCUCCAUUUUAUAUAUUAAUUAUACUCUUUACAGUGAAAUAUUUUCCUCUAAAAAAGGAUUGUAGGUAAAAGGAUCGAUGGAUCGUAUUUUUUAUCGGAGGGACAAGAUAUCUAUGUUGGCCGAAAAGAAUAUACAAGAAGGAAGAGCGAGAAACUGGUCAUUACGAGCGAAUAGCUGCGUCGAAGUUGUGAGAACCGUGGUGCUCUGAGACGGUGUUAUUAAGCAAAAAUAUUACACCGUUUUCAGAGCAUUAACGAACAAGUUUUACAGGGGAACGUAAACCGUGGCCGGCUCAUAUAUUAAGCUGGUUUGAAUGUUCUAUGAACGAAUACGACAAAUCCGUGCUUCGGUUCUGACCUUCUUUGGCGCGACAGCGUGGGCGCAUUUACUUCAGACGGAAUUACAGUCUGCACUUACUCCAUCUUACCUCAGUCAUUUCAGUAUAAGUAACUGCAAUCGUGAACCGUGACCGCUGUAUCGUAUCAUCUGGUUUACGUAAUUAUACGUAUGAAUGCACCGUCUUGGAUCGAAAGGUAAUUCGCCCGGAAGUGAUUCUUACGUGAGCUUGGUGGUCCUUGGUGAUUACGGAAUUUAGAAUUCGUCGCAGCAUAGGAAGAAACUGGUUUUACCUGAAUCAUUUCACGGUUGGGAAAAUGGAUCGCACAUUAGCCAGGACACUGUUAGAAGUUGCCGAGUUAACUCGCAACGUUAUAUUAGAAAAAAAUAUCAGUUCAAGGAAAUUUUAGGAUUGAUUUUUAAGGAAUAUUGGAGAUAUAUAUUCUUAUUUUACUAUGCAUGUUCGCAUAUUAAAUGGUAUGUAUAAAUGGAUCGAGCUCAAGCAUUUUCCUGAUUCAAAACGUUGUAUCUUUGAAUGGAUAAAUGAAAUCUAAUAUACGGAUCAACAAUAAGUAUAAUAUUAUAGCAAGGAAACUUGGUUAAAAGCCAAGAAAUGUAAAUCACGUACAUAGUUUGAUCUAUACGGAAUCGUAAUGGAUAUGCAAAACUAGAGUAAAGUGCCAGAUACCGU